CAGGAGAACCGCCCUCAUGACACCACUGUUCUGACUGGUCCCUCCUUGGCUUGUCCUGUGAUUAUUUACUCUACGCGAAAGUUACACAUCCGCAUUGCUACACUUUCUUGUUCAAAGUUGUCCCCCUAGUUAGUUUCACGCAAAGCUAAUGCCCUGUAUGUUUUUGUGGCUCGUACUGGAAUUAAACAAGCAUCCUUACCUGCAAGCUGCUUUCUGGGAGACACAACCUUUGCAGAUAUGUGACCAGGUAAUGACAGUCCUUGAGCCUGUGACUGGUAUAUCAUUGUGUCCUCUGGUACCUCCACUAUAGUCCCCACUUAUAUGGGCAACAAAAGUAUUCCUAAAAAAAGCGGAUAAUGUGACGAGUUGCUUGGCGCAAAGGCUCAAGGGAAGCAGAAAUGCAACCGUCCUAGUUCAGAGGGACACCAUAAACUCCAGAGUGACCCGAGUGGAAGGAAUCAAGUUGUUGACAGAAUUGCUGAAGGAGGUGUCUUGAGGCCAGUGUCUGAGGGAAGUCGACGGCAGCUGUAUGGGACGGCACAAGCUCAGCUGAUCUCCGUGGCUCUUCUCCCCCAGCCUGAAGGGAAACCGCUGCACUUGAACCACAAAGGGACCGACAUCAUGCCUCAUCAGUGUGUUGUCAGAGGGUGUAACAACACGAACAGAGAAGGAUUCAAGUUGUACCAGUGGUCAAAAGAUGUGAAAGUCCCUCGUUUGUUCUGCACACUGUACCGAUGACAGCUAUGCCACGACAGAGAUGGCACAGAAAUGACAAGAAUGUGUGGAUAUCCUGCGACACUCAAAGCAGAUGCAUUUCCAACGAUAAAGUCAACGAAAUCACAAAGCAACUCGGACUUUCCCACUUACACAUCUGAUGUCACAUCUGAUGCUAGCAGUCUCACCACCCAGAGGUCAUUUUUAUACAGCAACAUACAUGUAAGUUGAUUGGCAACACGGCCCUGCGAUGAGGUGGCGACUUGUCCAGGCUGUACCCCGCCUUCCGCCUGAAUACAGCUGAGAUAGGCUCUGUGGAAAAGAGUGGGUUAGUUAUACAAAAAGGAAAGUUUCUUAAAAUUCAUGAAAAAAAAUCAUUAAAAUACAAAUGGCCACAUUUCAAAAACAUGUUUUAUGAGACACCUGAAAUAUGAGUAUAUUACAAGUUUUUAUUUUUAAGAUUUUUAAAGGGGAACAUUAUCACCAGACCUAUGUAAGCGUCAAUAUAUACCUUGAUGUUGCAGAAAAAAGACCAUAUAUUUUUUUAAUCGAUUUCCGAACUUUAAAAGGGUGAAUUUGACGAUUUAAACGCCUUUCAGUUGAUUCAUAUGAUUUAUGCCACUUCUUUUUCUGUCUCAUUUUGUCCACCAAACUUAUAAUGUUGUGCAUGGAUGCACAAAGGCGAGUUUUGUUGAUGUUAUUGACUUAUGUGGAGUUUGAUAAUCAGACAUAUUUGGUUACGGCAUGACUGCAAGCUAAUCGAUGCUGACAUGCUAUUUAGGCUAGCUGUUUGUACAUAUUGCAUCAUUGUGCCUCAUUUGUAGCUAUAUUUGCAUCCAGCCUUUCCCUCCACCCACAUUUAAUGCCAAACAAACACAUACCAAUCGUUGGUUAGAAGGCGAUCGCUGAAUUUGUCCUCGCUUCCUCCCGCGCCACUGUCUGUCGUGAUAUGGCUCCCUAGCUUCAGUUUCUUCUUUAAUUUCGUUUUCGCUACCUGCCUCCACACUCCAACCAUCCGUUUCAAAACAUGCGUAAUCUGUUGAAUCGCUUACGGCGCUGAAAUCCGAGUCUGAAUCAGAGCUAGUAUCGCUAUACCUUUCUGUGCUAUCCGCCAUGUUUAUUUCUGUGUGAUUACGCUUUGACUUCACAGGAUAAUGGACGAGUGGAUAUAACGACGGUUAAAAUCAGGCACUUUGAAGCCGUUUUUCGGAAUAUUGCGUGAUGGGUAACAUUUUUAAGAGAAACUUCGAAAAAUAAAAUAAGCCACUGGGAACUGAUUUUUAUUGGUUUUAACCCUUCAGAAAUUGUGAUAAUGUUCCCCUUUAAGAAAAACAAACUAUGGGGUCGUUUUUGACCCCACGUCUGCAUCUAAGGGUUAAACACUACUUCUGUCAAUAUAAACAAGUAUCAAAUAAUUAGAGUUGUAUAUUACAGAUACAAACUCUCCAAGGCAGAAGCUUAUUAGAAAGUCUGCACUAAAAACUGUGUCUGGAUCAGUCAUGCACUAAACAUAAUUAAUUAUUGUGGCCACUAGUUGUUGCUGCCAAACUAUUUUCCACUUGUGCAAUGAGUCCUGCUAAUAUCAUAUGAAAUUAAUAUCAGGAUCGCACAAUACUUAUGGCUCCAAUAAUGUUAAUGUAUUGGAAGUGAAAAAAGACACCCUUAGUAAUUACUGUUACCUUUUUUUAAAAUGUUAAGAAGUUUUUCAUGAGAAAAGAAUGCAUAAUGUUAUAUCUGUGAUUUGGAGUAUGUUCCUUUUUAAAGGAGGUACCUAUUGAAGGAUGUGUGAUGUUACAUAGCGAGAGUGGAGUUAGCUGAGUAUCAGUAUGACUUGUGAAUGUGUUGAGCCAAUAAAAGUGCUUCAGUAGCUGUCUGUCCUUGACCACAAUUGGGACAGUAUAAUACGGUGCCAUGUUUCACAGUAAUUAAUAGUCAAAAUUACAGUUUGGCCUAUGCCUUCCUUUUUAAAAUAUUUCUAACCUGAGUGAACUCCUCAACCAAAUAAGAUAUUUAUGCAUCAAUAAUAUGUAAUGUUAUAUGUAAUAUGCAAUAUGUAUUGCAGCCAAACAGCUAUUUUUUUGUUUCAUCUGACCACAGAACUUUCCUCCAGAAAGUCUUAUCUUUGUCCAUGUGAUGUCAGAUGAAGCAAAAAUUGAGCUGUUUGGCCACAAUACCCAGCAAUUUGUUUGAACGAGAAAAGGUGUGGCCUUUAAUCCCAGGAACACCACACCUACCGUCAAGCAUGGUGGUGGUAAUAUUAUGCUCUGGGCAUGUUUUACUGCCAAUGGAACUGGUGCUUUACAGAGAGUAAAUAGGACAAUGAAAAAGGAGGAUUACCUCCAAAUUCUUCAGGAUAACCUAAAAUCAUCAACCCGGAGGUUGGGUCUUGGGCGCAGUUGGGUGUUCCAACAGAACAAUGACCCCAAACACACGUCAAAAGUGGUAAAGGAAUGGCUAAAUUAGGUUUGAAUUAAGGUUUUCGAAUGGCCUUCCCAAAGUGCUGACUCAAACGUGUGGAUAACGCUGAAGAAACAAAUCCAUGUCAGAAAACCAACAAAAUUAGCUGAAUUGCAGCAAUUUUGUCAAGAGGAGUGAUCAAAAAAUUCAACCAGAAGCUGGCCAGAAGUUUGUGGAUGGCUACCAAAAUCAUUGAUUGAUUGAUUGAUUGAAACUUUUAUUAGUAGAUUGCACAGUUCAGUACAUAUUCCGUACAAUUGCCCACUAAAUGGUAACACCCGAAUAAGUUUUUCAACUUGUUUAAGUCGGGGUCCUCGUUAAUCAAUUCAUGGUACCUUAUUGCAGUGAAACUUGCCAAGGGACAUGUAACCAAAUAUUAAAAUUGCUGUAUGUAUACUUUUGACCCAGCAGAUUUGGUCACAUUUUCAGUAGACCCAUAAUAAAUUCAUACAGGAAACAAACUUCAUGAAUGUUUUUUGUGACAAACAAGUAUGUGCUCCAAUCACUCUAUCACAAAAAAAAUAAGAGUUGUACCAAUUAUUGGAAACUCAAGACAGCUAUGACAUUAUGUUCUUUACAAGUGUAUGUAAACUUUUGACCACGACUGUAUUUACUCUGGGUCAGUUCCUCGUUGCAUCACACUGUGUGUCAUUAUAAAGUGUUUUGCUUUGCUUCAAUGGACACACCAGGGUUUGUUUGUGUAAGUGCUGCAGCGAAGGUUCAGUAAAUAAGAGCUCUGUAAGAAUGUUUGUGUUCACUAUAUGUGCUUAGAGCAGCACUGCUGUUAUUUGCUAUGGUUGAAUUAUCAAUUAAGUGUGUGGCUUAUUUGUUGAUUCAAGUUAGCUUACGUCAUUGAAAUUCAAGAUGACUUAAGAAUUGGAAUACUGUAUAGUACUUCCUGAAUUUCUACUGUAUAUUGUGCUUGAUUGACAUUUUUAUACAUGAGCUCGGGCAGCUCAACAGUUUAGGUCAAAAAUAAAAUUUUGAUUGUCUCUGAA